rnacentral:lncRNA from 1 species
UGCACUUCCCCUAUUGCUAUUCAUUCUUUCUUGUCUCCUCCUUUUUUUUAGUAGCUAUACUAUCUCCCUGUUGGGGCAUAUUCCAAAGCCUCCUACUACUAUAUAUGUUCUAUUUUCUGUGACACGAUUGCUCAAUUUAUAAUUCAAAUCAAAACAUUCAACAUAUUCAAAUCAAAUCAAAAUUCAAUCAAAACAACAAUAUUAUUAGUGUAAAUAAUAGCUAGUGGUAUAUUUUCAUUUAAUUUACAAUCUAUAUAGUACAAAAAUCUAUAACCGCAUAUCUUUUAAAUUUUCAUGUGAAGUCAUUUGUUUUAAUUAUAGAAAUAAAGGACAUCGACAUUUUUUUUACGUCUGACAAUCGAUUAGGAGAUUUAGAGAUUCAACAAAGUUUAUAUUUCGUUUAUAUUUAUGAAAUAUUACAUAAUUUUUCGUUACACGACAUUACAGGGUUGUAUCGUACAUAACUCGACCUCAAGCGUGUGCAGGGCAGAUGUUGUCAAGGAAGUGCUGCUGGCGCUGUUGAAGGACAAUUUAUUAUUAAAAAACUAAAAAAAAAUAGUACCCUUACAAUAUUCGAGGCAUGUAAAAACUGUGCAUGUGUCACAGCAGGCUGUGAAUACUUGUAACAAAAGUCAGAGAAUCUAGUUUAUACCGAUAUUUUGAUGGAGCAAAGAAUAUAUCCACAAUUGAACGUUGAUUUGAUUUGUUCGCUUUUCAAUUUUUUUGCUUGCCUCAAAAACACUGGUUAUAAAAGCUGCGGAAAUUUAUACAGCCAAAACAAUUCAAUGGUUUCAACACAACGUUGAGAAAUUUUCUAAAAUAAUCGGUAAACAAUAAAAAUAAAUGCUUGAUUGAGCAAAACACUUGUGCUCGGGAUUACAAAUUGCAGACGUAUAUAUAUAUCAAUCAAAAUGUGCGAUCUGUAUUGUAUAACAGGUAAAAAAAAGAAUGUUGUUUAUAAAAAGUACAAAUAUACGCGUGUGCAGUAAAGAAUGAAUGUAUAUUUAAUAAUAAAGAAAAAAUAAAAAGAUCGACCAAAAAUUUUACAUUAGUUAUCAGACACCUUAAGUUGACGGUUUUUUUAUUAUUAUUGAAUUGCAUACACGUUAUACGUUUUUUACAUCUCCAUCGUUACAAGCUUUUCGCUUGUCGCACAUGUUUUUUUAAUUAUUUUUUUUGUUACUCGAGCGAAUUGAAUUCCAUUAAUCUAAUUUUUUUUCCUAAUUUAUGUUUUAUUGUUAAAAGAACUCCUCGUGUUCUUUUGGAAGGGAUACCACCGAACUCUGCAAAUAAAUCCAAGAAAAUAAAAUAACGACGUAAAUUUUGCAUUCAAAACAAAUGAAUAAAGAUAUACACAGCAAUGAUUUAUAUUCCAGAUUAGAUGAAUUAGAAAUUUAAGCUUCCAACAAUUGCAUUUUAAUGAUUUCUACAGUGAAUGUAUUGUAUAGAUUCGAUUUCAGUAAUUCACAAUAUUAAAUCAAGAAUUUAAAACUUGAUACAGCUGCAACUGGUGAAAAAAUGAGAUUGGUAAAAUUAUGAUGUUUCCAAUUGAAUUUAACAAAUGUGAAAAUAAAGAUUGAAAAAAUG